UAACGCGUGAGAAUCUGCCAACGGGACGGGGAUAACAGGGGGAAACCGCUGCUAAGACCCGAUAAACCGAAAGGGGAAAAAGAAAUUGCCAGUUGAUGAGCUCGCGUCGGAUUAGCUAGUUGGUAGGGUAAAGGCGUACCAAGGCGACGAUCCGUAGCCGGUCUGAGAGGACGAUCGGCCACACUGGGACUGAGACACGGCCCAGACUCCUACGGGAGGCAGCAGUGGGGAAUUUUCCGCAAUGGGCGAAAGCCUGACGGAGCAAGACCGCGUGAGGGAGGAAGGCUCUUGGGUUGUAAACCUCUUUUCUCAAGGAAGAAGCAAUGACGGUACUUGAGGAAUCAGCAUCGGCUAACUCCGUGCCAGCAGCCGCGGUAAUACGGAGGAUGCAAGCGUUAUCCGGAAUGAUUGGGCGUAAAGCGUCCGCAGGUGGCAGUUCAAGUCUGCCGUUAAAGACUCCAGCUUAACUGGAGGAAGGCGGUGGAAACUGAACAGCUAGAGUGCGGUAGGGGCAGAGGGAAUUCCCGGUGUAGCGGUGAAAUGCGUAGAGAUCGGGAAGAACACCAGUGGCGAAAGCGCUCUGCUGGACCGCAACUGACACUCAGGGACGAAAGCUAGGGGAGCGAAUGGGAUUAGAUACCCCAGUAGUCCUAGCCGUAAACGAUGGAUACUAGGUGUUGUGCGUAUCGACCCGCGCAGUGCCGCAGCUAACGCGCUAAGUAUCCCGCCUGGGGAGUACGCACGCAAGUGUGAAACUCAAAGGAAUUGACGGGGGCCCGCACAAGCGGUGGAGUAUGUGGUUUAAUUCGAUGCAACGCGAAGAACCUUACCAGGACUUGACAUGUCCGGAAUCCUUGGGAAACCAGGGAGUGCCUUCGGGAACCGGAACACAGGUGGUGCAUGGCUGUCGUCAGCUCGUGUCGUGAGAUGUUGGGUUAAGUCCCGCAACGAGCGCAACCCUCGUUUCUAGUUGCCAGCAUUAAGUUGGGCACUCUGGAGAGACUGCCGGUGACAAACCGGAGGAAGGUGGGGAUGACGUCAAGUCAGCAUGCCCCUUACGUUCUGGGCUACACACGUUCUACAAUGCUUCAGACAAAGGGCAGCCAGCCAGCGAUGGUCAGCAAAUCCCAGAAACUGAGGCUCAGUUCAGAUCGCAGGCUGCAACUCGCCUGCGUGAAGGCGGAAUCGCUAGUAAUCGCCGGUCAGCAUACGGCGGUGAAUACGUUCCCGGGCCUUGUACACACCGCCCGUCACACC
rnacentral:rRNA from 1 species